AUGGACGACACCCUGGCCAACAUACGGAAGAAGCUGAAGCGGCUGAAGAAGGGCAAGGACGAGGAUGACGCCGUCGACGCCCCCGCGGUUCCCGACGGCGGCGAGGCCGUCGCCGUCGCCGUCGCCGCCGGGCCGGAAGAUCUGCAGGGCGGCGGAGACGUCGAGGACAUGGGCGAGGGCGUCGCCGACGAGGGCGGCGACCUGGAGGCCGCCGCGAAUGCGGUUCCUGGGGAGGAUGACGGCGUGAAAGGCCCCGGCGGCGAUCUAGGGUUGGGGGACUCCCUGUCGGUGCUCUUCAGGAAGCCUGGCCGCAAGCCUCGGCAGCAGGCCUCGAAGGAUGAGGAGGCAGAGGGCGUGGAGGCUGCCGAUUCGCAGGCAGAGGAGGCCCUCAAUGGCGGAUCUGGUGGCCUGGCUUCGGAUGAGACUGCCAAGGGCACCAAGAAGAGGCGGAGGCGGCGCACCAAGGCGGAGAUGGAGGAGAUGAGGGCUGCCGUCGCCGCAGAGAAUUAUGCCAAGGCAAUGGCAGGUGAUGGGUCUCCCAGGAGGUCAAAGGCGAAGCCAAAGGCUGCAUAUUCUGAUAGGCGCUCUAGGGCUGCCGCCCGUCGAGCCGUUGGAGAAUCGCCCGUUGGAGAAUUGCCUAUUGGAGAAUUGGCGGCACCCGGGCCUCCCCCUGAUUUGGAAAGGAAGCCCGAUGAGAAAGAAGAGGCUGUGGAUAAAGAAGAGGCUGCGGAUGAUGGUUUAUCGCUGGGAGAGACGCUUCUUCAAGACAUGGAAACCAGUAGAAUUGUGGAGGAUGGAUCUAGAAACUCUUCUGAUGGGGCAAGCCAUUGUGUCGAAGUUCCAGCAAGGGCUGAUAACUGCAUUGCCUUAAAUCCUUGUUCAGGAGGAGAACCUGCUGAAAAAGCAUCUCACAGUGCAGCAAAUGCAUCCGCUGAUGGUGUUUCUGAUGCACAGACAUGCUCCGAAACCUUAGCAGAGGAUAUAAAUGCUGAUGCAGGUUUUUCUCAAGAUAAGCCACCUGCACCAACCAUCAAAAGGAAACCUGGUCGAAAACCAAAAGAAGCGCCCAAGAAACCUGUUAGAAGGAAGGAGUUGCCUUCGGUUAGUGCUGAUGCUAAACCAGUUGAGAUAGCAGAAAGUGAUGCGUCGUCGAAGCAGCGGCGGCGCAAAAAUAAAUUUCUCUUGGCAAGGUCUACAACUGUGCAGUCUAAUUCCUCGCUGGACAAUAAAGCAGGUAGUACAGGCGACGUUAAAUAUGGCAAUAUCAAACCAAAUGCAGCUGUGCCAACAGAAGAAAGCUUAGAUCAGCCAGCUGCUUAUGGGGUUCGUGGGUCACGUGCCGCCAAGGAUUCACGUGCCUCUCAUAACAUGGCAGCAUCUGCUAAAGAAAUCGAUAUCACUGACGUGGCAGCACCAUCCAAUUUUGAGGACAUGGAGAAUACAUCAAAGGUGAAACGCCUAGCACGGAAUACUAGGAAACGUAAACAUGGUGACAUGGCAUACGAGGGAGAUGAUGAUUGGGAAACUCUGAUGCAUGAGCAGGGGCUGUUCUCAAACCCCUCAGCAGGUUUUGCAGAUCAAUCUGUCAAACCAAAAGAUAAAAUUAAAGCGUUGGAAGUUCUUGAGAACCGAGGUGUUGCUGCUGUAAGUGCUGGCCUAAUGGCGGAGGCUGUUUCUCCAAUGGAAAAGAUAAAAUUCAAGGAUGUCCUGAAGCGGAAGGGUGGCCUUAAGGACUACCUGGAGUGCAGGAACAUGAUCCUAAGUUUCUGGAACAAGGAUGUUAAACAUCUAUUGGAUCUUGCCGAUUGUGGUCUUUCUAAUGCUCCCAUGGAAGAUGAUUCACCACGUCAAACACUUAUACGUGACGUGUACUGUUUCUUAGAUCAGAAUGGUUACAUAAAUGCUGGAAUCGCAUCAGCCAAGGCGACAAAGGCUCAUGAAACUCUUUGUUCUGAGGUUGUGGAAGUAGCCAAGUUAAAUGAAUUACCUAAAAUGGAUACAGUCAUGGUUGAAGGUGACAUUGUUGCGGCAUCUCUCCAGAAUAAAGAUCAUGAUUAUGGUGCUUUGGGACCUUUGACAGAAGAAUCGAAGGAAAAUAAUGUCCCUGACGCUCACUGCGAUGCCCAAGAAUUGAUACCUCACUUACAGUCCAAAGAACAGGCAUUUGAAGAAAAGAAUCUAGAUGUAUCAACUGAAGGCGGAGAUGCAUUACUACCACCGAUCAAUAUUACUUCAGUUGGAAACACUGAAGGCCCCAGCCUUGAUAAACCAGAAGCAGCUGUUAUCAAACAUCCUAGAAACAACUGUGAGGUAAAUCAUAAAGUUGAAUCUGGAGGGCAUGGCAAAAAGAUAAUCAUUGUGGGAGCUGGUCCGGCCGGUUUAACUGCAGCACGCCAUUUGCAGCGUCAAGGUUUUGCUGUCACUGUUCUUGAAGCGCGUGAUAGGAUUGGUGGUCGUGUUUAUACAGAUCGUACAUCGCUUUCAGUUCCUGUGGAUUUGGGUGCUAGCAUUAUUACAGGUGUGGAAGCUGAUAUAGCAACUGAACGAAGGGCUGAUCCAUCCUCUUUGAUUUGUUCUCAGCUUGGUCUUGAACUGACUGUACUGAAAAGUGCUUGCCCUCUCUAUGAUGUAGUAACUGGCAACAAGGUUCCCGAUGAAUUGGAUGAUGAGUUGGAAUCUGAAUACAACGGCCUUCUUGAUGAAAUGGAACAACUUUUUGAACAAAAUGGUGAAAGUGCACUGGGUUUAUCCCUUGAGGAUGGGUUGGAAUACACUCUUAGGAAGAAACGUGCAGCCCAUGCUAUUUCUUCUGUGGGACACGAUGAUCAGUUAAUAAGUAUGAACAGUAGAGGAGGUGCAGACAUUUCCAAAAAUGCUUCAACAGAAAAGGAGAUGGCUCAUUGUGGGGAGGAUGGUAAGAUAGAUGUUCUCAGCCCUCUUGAAAGAAGAGUUAUGAACUGGCACUUUGCACAUUUAGAGUAUGGUUGUGCUGCAAUGCUCAAAUCUGUCUCUCUUCCAUACUGGAACCAAGAUGAUGUGUAUGGAGGGUUUGGAGGACCUCAUUGCAUGAUUAAAGGUGGUUAUGGCGCUGUUCUUCAGAGCCUUGCAGAAGGACUUGAUGUUCAGUUAAAUCAUGUUGUAACUGAAGUAACGUACAGGUCUGAUGAGUCAGAUGCUAGUGGCAUUAGUGGGAAAACUGUUAAAGUUUCCACUUCGAAUGGAGCUGAAUUUGAGGGAGAUUCUGUGUUGAUCACUGUUCCUCUUGGAUGCUUGAAAGCACACACAAUCAAAUUUUCUCCUUCCUUGCCGGACUGGAAAACAUCUUCCAUUGACAGGCUUGGAUUUGGUGUUCUAAAUAAAAUAGUAUUGGAGUUUUCUGAGGUCUUUUGGGAUGAAAAUGUGGAUUAUUUUGGUGCAACUGCGGAACAAACAGAUUUAAGGGGACAAUGCUUUAUGUUUUGGAAUCUCAAGAAGACAGUCGGCGCACCAGUUAUAAUAGCUCUACUUGUUGGGAAGGCUGCUAUAGAUGGACAGGGUAUCAGUUCUGAUGCUCAUGUUAGCCAUGCUAUGGUGGUUCUCCGCAAGCUCUUUACGGAUGCUGCUGUACCAGAUCCAGUGGCGUCAGUUGUCACAAACUGGGGCCUUGAUCCUUUUAGUAGAGGUGCUUACUCUUAUGUUGCAGUAGGAGCAUCAGGGCAAGAUUAUGACAUCAUAGGACGGCCAGUUGCAAACUGUUUAUUUUUUGCUGGGGAAGCAACAUGCAAAGAGCACCCAGAUACUGUUGGUGGUGCAAUUUUAAGUGGUCUUCGAGAAGCAGUUCGGAUUAUUGACUUGGUACACAGUGGUAAGGAUUAUGUGGCUGAGGUGGAAGCUCUACAAACAUACCAAGUGCAGUCAGAUAGGGAAAGAAAUGAAGUCAGAGACAUGUCAAAUAGACUUGAAGCACGUGAACUGUCAACUGCUCUAUGCAAAAACUCAUCUGAUGCAUCAUAUGCAGUAGCUAGCAAGGAAUCUGUACUGCAAGAAAUGUUUUUCAGUGCGAACACUACACCAGGGCGCCUACAUUUGGCCAAGGAGCUACUGAAACUCCUUCCAGAUGCUCUUAAAUCAUUCGCUGGCUCUAAAGAAGGGUUAACUAAACUGAACUCUUGGAUACUUGAUUCACUGGGAAAAAAUGCAACUCAACUGUUGCGGCAUUGUGUACGCUUGCUUUUGCUUGUUUCGACCGAUCUGGUAGCUGUUCGCUUGUCUGGAAUUGGGAGGACUGUAAAGGAAAAGGUCUGUGUGCAUACUAGUCGAGAUAUUCGUGCCAUAGCUCGCCAGUUGGUCAGUAUGUGGAUAGAAGUUUUCCGUAAAGAAAAGGCUAGCAACGGUGCUCUCAAAAUGCUGCGCCGAUUGCCAUCAGUUGAAUCGAGCAAGACAAAGAGCAAGGAUCUACAUUCAGGAAUGCGUACUUCGCAUGUGACAAAUGAAGCAGGUGUACAGCGUGUAAGAUCUGCUGGGAGCCAUUCACCUCACAGAACUGGCAAGAAGCCUGACAAGGUUGUGAAAUUAUCUACUAUAAUGGCUACAAAGUCUGAUGGCAGCUCGCUUCGUUCCCAGAAGCAACACCAUGAUCCAGAACCCAAAACGGAUCAAGGCAUGGUUAUGUCUGAGGAAGAAGCUGCUGUAUUUGCUGCUGCGGAGGCUGCUCGAGUUGCUGCCGUAGCAGCUGCACAGGCAUAUGCAUCCGCAGAGGCAGUGAUAAGUAAGCCUCGGGAACUCCCAAAGAUCCCAUCAUUUGGAGAUUUUGCAAGGCGUGAUCACCAUUUGGACGAAUCUGAUACAAGAAAGAAAAUGACAAGUGACAAGCAUGGGAGACUUGAAUGCAUAUCAGAGAUUGAUUCCAGGAAUGGCAAAACUAAGAACUCAUCAGCUGAGCACGCCAAUUGUCCUGAUGUUGACAGCUCGAAAAUGACUGUUGAUAACUGUACCCAGAGGAGCUAUUCAAACGAGAAAGCCUGCCUAAUUAAUAUUAAGGACAAUUCUGCAGAGAGUGGAGCUGUAGAAAGUCGGUUUACUAGGGCAUGGGUUGAUACUGAUGCAGUCUCCAUUGAUGGUGUCAAACAUCCUCUAGCCAUUGAGAGGUGGCAAGCACAAGCAAUGGAAGCAGAUAAAGAAUUCUACAGUCGGAUACACAUACCCAUGGAAGAAGAUUCAGGUAGCCAAAAGCAGGCAUGCAAAAGUUCUGCCUCGCAGGUUGCAGAAAGCAAACCUGCAUCAGAAGGACAAUCCCGAGGUGUAGAACAUAUAAAACAGGGGCUUAUAGCUUUCAUUAGCACACUACUGAUGCCACUGUACAAAAGUAAAAAGAUCGACAGGGAGGCAUACAAGACAAUGAUGCGGAAAGCUGUCACAAAGAUCAUUGAUGCAUGCACCGAAGGAGAGAAGCUGAUGACUGCCAAUGAAUUUCUUGAUUUUAGAAGGAAAACUAAGAUUCAAACAUUUGUGGAUAAGCUGGUCGAGAGGCAUUGGCAUGUGGCUCCAGCCCCCAAAUCAUAG
rnacentral:rRNA from 1 species